CGCGUAUACAACCUACCUUUUAGCGGGGAAUAGCCCAGGGAAACUUGGAUUAAUGCCCCAUAGUAUAUGGACUUCUCCUGAAGUUUAUAUUAAACAUUUAUGGCUAUUAGAUGGGGUAUGCGUCCUAUUAGUUAGUUGGUAAGGUAACGGCUUACCAAGGCAGCGAUAGGUAGGGGUCCUGAGAGGGAGAUCCCCCACACUGGUACUGAGACACGGACCAGACUCCUACGGGAGGCAGCAGUGAGGAAUAUUGGACAAUGGGCGAGAGCCUGAUCCAGCCAUGCCGCGUGCAGGAAGACU
rnacentral:rRNA from 1 species